GAGCAGUUCUGUCUCCUGCUCUAGCUUGAGCAGCUUCAGAUAAAGUUCUGGUAUCUGGUUUGAUGCUGCCUACCAGAAAACAUGUCAGUUUCGUCUUUUGUUGUAUCAUCUGCAUAUCCUUUGAGACUGGCAAUGUUUGCUACCAUGGGAAAAUCAAAUGGGAUGGGAGUGUGUGUAUGGUGAGCAGAGUUUAAGCCCCUCAGGGUACACAGGAGUAAAUAAAGAAAACGUUUGUUAAGGGGGAAGGAACGUCAAGCAGCCGUCAUCAGAGAUUUUCUAGCCACCUGGGAUGCCCACUUUAGUGUCCUAUGUACACACUUGGCUUAUAUCCUUCACAGUGGAAAUUUUCUUGGUGUCUACCAGGAUGUGGCCUUCACCUGUGACCCUGAGGCCCAGCUGAGAGCAGCUCAGCUCGGUGCAGCCUUCUGUAAUGGGGAGAGACACCGUCAAAGAAAGAAACAUCCCAGUCGCCCAGCUCCAGUGUCAGUUGACGCCAAGGCACCGGACAAUGUGAAUCUGAAAAUCCAUCCUCUUGCCCAGCAGCUCCAAAGGGUCGAUAACCACAUCCUCCUCGCCAUGCGUUCUACAAACAGAAGAGCUUCAUGCAGUAGGCCAGCGACUGGAGCCAGAUGUGAGCUGAGCCCAAACAGACGACCUCGACAGGAUCCCAGAAAGGGUCGUCUUCUCGAGCCACAGGGCCGUGAUCUCCAUCUAGAAAGCGCUGGUAAAGUUCCUGCAUUAGGAAUUUCCUAUUGAUGAACUUGGCUUUUGACCAUAUCCACACCUGGAAACACAGAGGUAGGUCACCAUCAUUUGAUUCAUCUGCUGCUCUCACGAUUCAUCACUCUGAUUUUCCCAGCACGCUCCCUUCA
rnacentral:lncRNA from 1 species